AACAACGCGCUCGCAACUCGUACCGAAAAUAAUGUUUAAAAUUUAAACUUUAAAUGAAUGGAACGCAAAAUAAUUGGCGCCGAGAAAGAUACAAGUAAAAAAAUGAAUUUAAGUAACAUAAUAUAAGCUACGAUUGAAACACUUUUACUCAAAUUAUUAAUUUUGCAUAAAGAAUUUUUAACAGUGUAAUGAUACAAUAAAGAAAUUAUUUAAAGAAAUUAUUUUUAUAUAAAAAAAAAACAUUCGAAAAAAUAACAAAAAAUCGAAAAUCGAAAUCGAAAAAAUUUAGGUUGACUUAUUUUUUCUAUUUAUUAUAUUAAUAAAGUUUGCAUACAACGUUUGGCGCCCCUGUUUCCUGGCGCCCUUGGGCGGCGCCCAACCUCGCUCCCCCCUAAGGCCGGCACUGCAUUUUUUAUAAAUUGAAAUAUUAGUAUUUAUGCUUAUGCCUUCAGCUGGUACGAUUGGUAAGUUUUAAAAUUUUUAAUUUCUGAUUAUGUAUGCCUUUUUUUAUCAAUUGCUAUAUUUUUCUUUUAUUACAACUUUUUUACCUUAGUUUUAUCGUCGUCUGCAUCAAGUAGUAUGUCUAAAUAAUAUUACUUGUUUAUAUGUGUAUCCAUUUUUCAUCAAUUGCUAUAUUAAUUUUUUAUUACAACUUUUUAACCUUAGGACCGUGUACAUUUUCUACGAUUGUUUCAUGUUCACCUGCAACAACUGUUCCACCUGCUCAACCUUCUGCUGGUAAAUUUAUGUGUUAAAAAUGUAUCUGAAUGGUUAUCAACUUUUUAUUAUUCCUAUUAAUAUACACUGUUUAAUACAUUUAUAUUGUGUUCUCAUUUGAGUUCUCAUAAAAAGAAAGUAUUUAAAUUUUUAAUCUUAUUAAAAAUUUGUUUACCUAUAAGUGAUUUAUUAGUCAAUAAUUUUAUAUAUUUAG